rnacentral:sRNA from 1 species
UGAAUUGCAGUUACGACUACGGACAAGU